ACCUGACUCAGUCAGUGAAGCAUGAGACUCUUAAUCUCAGGGACGUGGGUUUGAGCCCCAUGUUGGGCA